GACCGAACCGACUAAUGUUGAAAAAUUAGCGGAUGACUUGUGGCUGGGGGUGAAAGGCCAAUCAAACCGGGAGAUAGCUGGUUCUCCCCGAAAGCUAUUUAGGUAGCGCCUCGUGAAUUCAUCUCCGGGGGUAGAGCACUGUUUCGGCAAGGGGGUCAUCCCGACUUACCAACCCGAUGCAAACUGCGAAUACCGGAGAAUGUUAUCACGGGAGACACACGGCGGGUGCUAACGUCCGUCGUGAAGAGGGAAACAACCCAGACCGCCAGCUAAGGUCCCAAAGUCAUGGUUAAGUGGGAAACGAUGUGGGAAGGCCCAGACAGCCAGGAUGUUGGCUUAGAAGCAGCCAUCAUUUAAAGAAAGCGUAAUAGCUCACUGGUCGAGUCGGCCUGCGCGGAAGAUGUAACGGGGCUAAACCAUGCAC
rnacentral:rRNA from 1 species